GUCUACGGCCAUGCUACCCUGAACAAACCUGAUCCUGUCUUAUCUCAGAAGCUUAGCAGGGUUGGGCCUGGUUAGUACUUGGAUGAGAGACCACCUAUGAAGACCAGGUGCUAUAGGUC
ensembl:rRNA 5S_rRNA 5S ribosomal RNA